ACCCAGGCAAGCCCCGGUGCAUUUGCCACCUCCUUGCUGUUUUAAAAUUUUUUAUCACCUUGUUUGAUGCAUUAGGUGAUAGGAGUUGUGUGCUAAACCGUUGGUGCAUUUCCUUCCUUGAUUAAACAACCCUAAUACACGUUUUAUGAAAAUUUAGUGAUGCUUACCCUGCUUAUUAAUUUAGGAUUGUUUUUAAAAGAUGAUGUGUAACACGGGAUAUGGGAGUUUGUGAAAUAAAAUGACUUGUGAUGAUGAAGCCAUUGUGGCCGCGAUGAUUUCAUCAUUCAAGUAGGGUACCUCUCUCAGGUAUCAAGUUUUGGGAAAUAAUAUGUAAUGGAGACCAGACGUAGAGCGGGAAAGUUUGCCCGUCUGUGUCGAUUAAGGAUCGUUCGAUGUAGGCCUGAUGAGGUGAGACUUUGCAACUAGCCACAUGCUCCGGUAAGCCUGAACCUGGCUAUUCCAUACGUGAAAAGACAACCGCGCACUGGGCAUGGGAGAUGGUGGGAGUAGCGUGUACCCUCCUGGCUAGAGGCUGGAUGGAGGAGUACUGUGCUCCCGGGUAGCGCGGACCGGUUCACGUUGUGGAGGAUCUGUGGGAACGAUUGGCAUAUGCAAGGGUUAAGUGCUACAUAUGUCGUGUGGUUAGGGAUCCCCAGCUGGGUAUAAUCGGUUCGAAUCGUCGUUGCUCCUCGGUCAUGGAGACUCGACUCACUGACCACACAUCGUAGUUUAUAAGUGAAAUAAGAAUUUGGGUAAAAGAAAGCUAGACCAGGACAAGUGAAUGCUCUAGAUCUAGCAAAUCUAGAUUCAGGAAAAGUACUUAACUUGUGAAGUAAAAUUUUGGCAUAAAGAUCCACUCAUAGUAAGCUUUUCUGCAAAACAGAGUCUUUGAUUCUUGAUAAGCCAUACCUUGAAUCCCUCUAGCCAGCAUACCCUUGAGAGUCUUUUCUUUAGUCGGGUAAGUCUUGCUGAGUAAUUCCAUACUCAGGGUUUUAUUCCCUGUUGUUUUUCAGGUCUAGCUUUGUGAUGCUGUUGAUGGUGUUAAGUGCCGGUGGGCUCGGCCUUCUUAUAAGUCUAAGUAACCCUUCUAUACUUCUUAUUGAGGAUGGUCACUUGAGCUAGCAUAUAUUUCAAACUUAUACUUUUGUAAUCACUCCGAUAAUCAUAAAGUAAACUUGAUGUAACUUGUAAAAUUUGGUAAUAAGAUUUCCACUGCAAAAUUGUUAGUGUGUGAUUUGUGUUUACUUAAUCCUGUGGUCCUGGUUGUAAGUGGUUUAUCCGGUGUCCUUGGGGCAAUCGGACGGAUCCUGUUAAGUUUUCUGGUGCACAUGCAUAACCGUCUGAGGUCUUUGAGACAAGGACAGGUGCAUGUGGGCCCGAUACCUUGGGAGGUUCUGCCACAAUCGAGGCCAACCCGGAGAAAAUCGCGGCCAUCACCAACAUGGGGCCUAUCAAAGACUUGAAAGGAGUACAAAGGGUCAUGGGAUGCCUUGCGGCUCCGCUUCAUCUCACGCCUCGGCGAAAAAGGUCUACCCUUGUACCGCCUCUUAAGGAAGACCGAGCGCUUCACUUGGACCCCCGAGGCCGAGGAAGCCCUCGGAAACUUAAAGGCGCUCCUUUCAAACGCGCCCAUCUUGGUGCCCCCCGCUGCAGGAGAAGCCCUCUUGAUCUACGUAGCCGCAACCACUCAGGUGGUCAGCGCCGCGAUUAUAGUCGAGAGACGAGAAGAAGGGCAUGCACUGCUCGUCCAGAGGCCGGUCUACUUCAUCAGCGAAGUGCUAUCCGAGACCAAGAUCCGCUACCCGCAAAUUUAGAAGCUACUGUACGCAGUAAUUCAGACGCGACGAAAGUUGCGACACUACUUCGAGUCUCAUCCGGUGACUGUGGUGUCAUCCUUCCCCCUGGGGGAGAUCAUCCAGUGCCGAGAGACCUCGGAUAGGAUAGCAAAGUGGGCGGUGGAGAUCAUGGGCGAAACAAUCUCGUUCGCUCCUCGGAAGGCCAUCAAGUCCCAAGUCUUGGCAGACUUCGUGGCUGAAUGGGUCGACACCCAGCUACCGACAGCUCCGAUCCAACCGGAACUCUGGACCAUGUACUUCGAUGGGUCGCUGAUGAAAACAGGAGCAGGUGCGGGCCUGCUCUUCAUCUCACCCCUCGGGAAGCACCUCCGCUACGUGUUGCGCCUCCAUUUCCCAGCGUCAAACAACGUGGCCGAGUAUGAGGCUCUGGUUAACGGGUUGUGCAUCGCCGUUGAGCUAGGGGUUCAGCGCCUCGACGCUCGUGGCAACUCGCAGCUUGUCAUCAACCAAGUCAUGAAGAACUCCCACUGCCACGACCGAAAGAUGGAGGCCUACUGCGACGAGGUUCGGCGCCUGGAAGACAAGUUCUACGGACUCGAGCUCAAUCACAUCGCCCGACGGUACAACAAGACUGCGGAUGAGCUGGCUAAGAUAGCCUCGAGGCGGACAACGGUUCCCCCGGAUGUCUUCUCCAGAGACAUACAUCAACCCUCCAUCAAGACCGACGACACGCCCGAGCCCGGGGAAGCCUCGGCCCAGCCCGAGGAGGCCUUGGCCCAGCCCAAGGCACCCUCGGCCGCCGAGGGUGAGGCACUGUGUGUCGAGGGAGAGCGGAAUGGGGUCACGCCUAAUCGAAACUGGCAGAUCCCGUACCUGCAAUAUCUCCACCGAGGAGAGCUACCCCUCGACAAAGCCGAAGCUCGGCGACUGGCGCGGCGCGCCAAGUCAUUCGUCUUACUGGUAAUGAAAAGGAGCUCUACCACCGCAGCCCCUCAGGCAUUCUCCAACGAUGCAUAUCCAUCGCUGAAGGACAGGAGCUAUUGCAAGAGAUACACUCGGGGGCUUGCGGUCACCACGCAGCACCUCGAGCCCUCGUCGGGAAUGCCUUCCGACAAGGCUUCUACUGGCCAACCGCGGUGGCCGACGCCACUAGGAUUGUACGCUCCUGCCAGGGGUGUCAAUUCUACGCAAGACAGACGCACCUGCCCGCUCAGGCCCUGCAGACAAUACCCAUCACCUGGUCGUUUGUUGUAUGGGGUCUGGACCUCGUCGGUCCCUUGCAGAAGGCACCCGGGGCUUCUCGCACCUGCUGGUCGCCAUCGACAAAUUCUCCAAGUGGAUCGAGGUCCGACCCCUAACAAGCAUCAGGUCCGAGCAGGCGGUAGCUUUCUUCACCAACAUCAUCCAUCGCUUCGAGGUCCCGAACUCCAUCAUCACCGACAAUGGCACCCAGUUCACUGGCAAGAAGUUCCUGGACUUCUGCGAGGACCACCACAUCCGGGUGGACUGGGCCGCCGUGGCUCACCCCAUGACAAAUGGGUAGGUGGAGCGUGCCAACGGCAUGAUUCUGCAGGGACUUAAACCGAGGAUCUACAACAACCUCAACAAGUUCAGCAAGCGGCGGAUGAAGGAACUACCCUCAGUGUUCUGGAGUCUGAGGACGAUGCCAAGCCGGGCCACAGGUUUCUCGCCGUUCUUUCUAGUCUAUGGGGCCGAGGCUAUCUUGCCCACAGACUUAGAAUACGGUUCCCCAAGGACAAGGGCGUACGAUGACCAAAGCAACCAGACCAGCCAAGAAGACUCGCUAGACCAGCUGGAAGAAGCUCGGGACGUGGCCUUGCUACACUCGGCACGAUAUCAGCAGUCUCUGCGACGCUACCACGCCCGAGGGGUUCGGCCCCGAGACCUCCAUGUAGGAGACUUGGCGCUUCGGCUGCGACAAGAUGCCCGAGGGCGCCACAAGCUUACUCCUCCCUGGGAGGGGCCAUUCAUCAUCGCCAAGAUUUUGAAGCCCGGAAGAUACAAGCUGGCCAACAAUCAAGGCGGGGUCUACAGAAACGCUUGGAACAUCCGACAGCUACAUCGCUUUUACCCUUAAGAUGUUUUGAAGUCGUUCAUAUGCCUCGUUUUCUUUACAUACACAAAUAGAGUCUAACCGUCAAGGAAGAGUCAGCCUUGCCUCGGCGAAGCCCGACCCUCCCUCGGGGGCUAGAAGGGGGGGACCCCCUCUGCGUCAAAAUUUUCCUCGGAAAAAGUCUUUCUGCCAGAACAUCUUUCGCGCUUUUCGACUGCUUCGAUAGCGGGAUCCUGAAAACGACGGAGUACACGUAAGCGGCAAGGCCGACUGAGCCGAGGGACUCCUACGCCUCAGGGAUAUGGAUACCUCACUCAUCACCUUCUGCGAUAAGUAACUCACGCUCGGAUAAGCGAUUCUGCUGACCAAACAAGUCUUAACUCUCGAAAAUUUUUCUGCCAGAACGAUUUUCGUGCCUUCUCGACUAUAUCGAUAACAGAAUCCUACGAACGAGUAAGAGUGCACAUAAGCGGCGAGGCCAACUGAGCUAAGGGACUCCUACGCCUCCGGGAUACAGAUACCUCACUCAUCACCUUCCGUGAAAAGUAACUCUCGCUCGGAUAAACGAUUCUGCUACCGACGAACAAGUCCUGAUACUCGAAACAAGAGGAAAGGAAAAGCAGCUUUACAACACAAAAAUAAUAUGUUUGGGCCUCGGCGGCCGCGAAAAAACAUACACAUACUACAGACAAACUUUCCCUACAGGUUCAGACAUCAAUAGAGGGAGCAGCAGCACCCUCGGUGUCAUCUCCACCUUCGGCGGAAUCUUGCCCGGCCUCAGACGGCGGCACGGGCGGAAGGAUCUCCACCUCGAAGGAGGACGCCAGCACCAAGCUCGGGCCAUCAUAGCCAAGGUCUCCGCAAGGGUCCUGGCCCGGGCAGAUACCUCGACCGGCCGCUCCGUAGCCUCAGCCAGCUGUCCCCCGAGGACAUCAGCCCAGCUCACGGCCUCGGCAGCAUGACUCCGAGGCCGGUCCCGCUAACGGACGACCUGGCCAAGCUCCAGUCGUUGCUGCUGCACCUCCUCGGUCAGGGAGGCCACGUGCUCCCAGGCCGACGAAGCUUCUUCUCGAGCCGACUCCGCCUCUGUCCACGCUGACACCGCUGCCUCUGGCUCCGGCUCAUCGCAGAGCAACCGAAGGUUCUAUAACUGAGAAAGAGAAGCCUUGGGUGGCAAGGCCGACCGAGCCGAGGGACUCCUACGCCUCCGGGAUACGGAUACCUCACUCAUCACCUUCCUCACAGGGCAACUCACACUUGGUUAAGCGGUUCAGCUAGCUGACAGGCGAGUCCUAGUGCUCGAAAUGAGGAAGAAACACGGUAUUACACUCAAAUACCUAGAUGUUCAGGCCUCGAUAGCCACAAUGAACAAACACCGGCACUCAAGGUGCCAUUACAAAUGGAACUCCGGUUCCACUCCCGCGGGUAUGAACAACCUCCACAUCGGAGGGCCUGCGGGACGACAAACUCCAGUUGGCUCGCCGCCGACCACUGCAGCAGCAGCGACAACGACCUCCGCUCUGGGCGGCUAAAUAGCAGCAGCGAUGACCUCAGGGCAGACGCUGCUGCGACAAGGCCCUCGCCCACGUCCCCACUCGAGGGGCGAGGACAAGCUAUCAAAGCCAAAGAGCCGGAGGUCAGUCCGCGGGUGGCGCCGACGGUCUCGUCGGCGGAGAAACCUUCUCUGGCUGCCACCACCUCAGCACCGACGACGGCAGCCACCUGCCCACCAGCGCCGCACCAGCGAGCGCCGGCCGCCCCAAAGUGCACCGGCAGGUCCUCACUCCCGUCCUUGCUGCAAGAACGAGAACGGGACUAUCUCAGAACAUGAGUACCGCCUCGCGGUGUACGAUGUGUUGUGAGACCCUCCGGUGCGGCCGACCACAGUCGCCCGGAUAGAGGACGGAAUGCUGCACCCUGGCCAGGCAGCAGCAGUUCGCCUUCCCCCGCAUGGCUGGAGGAUGCCUCCUCCGCAGAGCUGGAGGAUGGUUUCCACCCCCAGAUGCCGGAGGAAAAAGCGGGUCGCCAGCCCACGCGAAGGCAGGCCCCGGCUCGCCUCGCCCUCCUCCCCAGCAAGGAUGAUGAAGAUCCUUGAAGCUGAGGGUGGGGCAGAGGCCGCAGUCCGGCUUGCUUCUCCCCACCAUCGAACUCGUGGUCACCAUCCUGGGUGACCAUCAGUGAGGGAAUGCGGCCGGGCUGCCUGAUGAAAAUCCUUGAAGUCGAACAAUGGCUGAAGGGUGCCCACCUCAGUAAGGUUGCGCUCCUCCAACAACAAGACGAAGGCAACGCGGGCGCUCCCCAUCCGGGGGCUCGGAAGGUGGAAGGAUGCGAUGCAUGAGGGGAGUGCGAAGGCAUGGCUACCACCCGGGGGGUCGAUCCCUUUUUAAAGGUGGCUCUCCCCACUGUGUCCUCAGGCGUCAUGGACUAAGUCUUCACUGAUGUGCUUCAGGGUCCUCCCCCUACGACACGGGGGCUGGGUCCCACACGUCAUGCAAGCUGGCCCGGAACAGAAGAAGCCAAACCGUCGCGUGCGGAGCGUGUAACCGCCCCGUGGUUACAAGCACUCCUCCAUCCUCGCCAAAACCAACGGUUGAAAGGGUGGACCGCCAUGCAGGUGGCGUGCAACCGCACCACGGAGAUGCACCCCUUCGACUUUGACGCAUCCAGCAUGGAGGCCCAGGCCCACACGUCAUGUAACCGGCGCGCCGAUUACUACGUGCGAAAAACUGCACCGCCACUUGCGCCAAUGCCGCGCCUUCUCGACUGCGGAACCGGUGCCGCGACUCGAGGCAACCCUGCGCAUGGCCCAACAGUGCCAACCGAGCACAUCGGUCACGGAUCAGUCAGCCGCGGGAGGAGGCACGACAGUCGAUAUGGCCAAAAGUGGGUCGGCAGUAAUGGCGGCAACAGGCGAGCGGAAGCAGCAGUCAAGUCGUCUGCAGGCUCACGUCCCCUCCUGGAGUAGCAGGGGAGCCCUCUCCCACGACAUGAAGACGACGCGCCCGUGUUCCGUCCCUCGAACGGCUCGCGCAACGACCGCCCCGCGAACCACCCGUCCCGUCGCAUUAACUCCGCGGCAGGGCAAGCGCCACCUUUGGCAGGCGAAGCGGGCGACGUUUCACCUCCGCCAUGAUGACCACGUCAAAAAAGGUGCGCCACACCAUUUAAAUUCAUAUCCUUUUCUUCUUCCCCUUUCUCUCUCUUGCUACAGGGACCGGGAAAGGGGACAUUUUGAAAGGGAUCCUUCUCCACGAAGGAAGCGGGCCCCGAGCCCUCCUACUGAUCAGGGGUUCGAAGGCUGGCCCCUCGGAAGGGUUCGACAGCCGCCUCAGAGCACUUGGGCUUCAGGCUCAUUAACUGAUCAGAGGUUUGAAGGCUGGCCCCUCGGAAGGGUUCGACAGCCGCCUUAGAGCACUCGGGCUCCACGCCCACUACUGAUCAGGAGUUCGAAGGCUGGCCCCUCGAAGGGUUCGACAGCCGCCCCAGAGCACGCAGAGCGAGGGAUGACUCUGGGUACGUCCGAUACAUGGCCGAGGCUCGGGCUACGCUCCCGAGGUACCCUAGGACAUUUCCGAGACCAGCAGGAGCGAUUUUGUAACGGAAUCCCAUCAGAGGGAGGCAUCGAGCCCUCGGACCCUAUCAAACGGGACCGGGUCCGGCAAAUCACCUACAGGUACUUUUGGAGCGCGCCUCUGGGCCACUAGCCGACCCUUAUCGAACGGGGCACGGGCGUCCACUCGGAUCACCCGUUAGCAACUCACUGGAGACACCAUGUUCGGCGCCCUCCGAGGGCAACAUGGCGCUUUCCCCCCUUCCUCCUUGCGGAAAGGCGAUGAAGGGGCGUAUCAUAAAAGUCGAGUCAGUCCUUGAUCGUCCUCUCGCUCCGUGCAGAGGCUCGGGGGCUGCUCUCGCAAACCCGGCUACGGCCAAACCGUUGACAGCGUCAACAAACCAGCCUGAAAACUCGGAACCUGACCAUGCACCCGGACUAUGAUCAGAUCGCAUGAGGGAACAACCAGACCGGCCAAGGCAUCACGAAAGGCAUUAAGACCUCAGAGGAGUCAAACCACUCCCCCGAGGCCUCGGGGGCUACACCUGACGGGUGCGCUCGCGCGCACCCACCAGAACAAAAUAUAACCGAGAAAGGCCGGUCCCCUUGCAAAAAAGUGCGACAAAGCCUCCAAGCGAGCACCAACACUCCCUUUGAGGCUCGGGGGCUACUGUCGGGUACCAUAAUUAGGGGUACCCCCAACACUCCUAAACUUGGUUGGUAAUCACCAUUAGCGCAAACUGCAGAGACCGAUGGGCGCAAUUCAGGUCAAGGCUUCGUCUACUCAAGGGACGCAAUCUCGCCUCGCCCGAGCCCAGCCUCGGGCGAGAACAGUAGUCCCAGGUGAAUUCACGCCUCGCCCGAGGGCCUCCUCAGCAAUGGGCGCACCCUCGACUCGCCCGAAUCCCAGCUCGGGCAGGCUUCGUUGUGAAGCAACCUUGGCCAAAUCACCUCACCAACCGACCGUAUCGCAGGCGCAUUCAAUGCAAGGAUCGCUUGGCGCCUUAUUCUGACAUGCGUGCCUCAGUCGGCAAGGUCGAAGUGACCGCAGUCACUUCGCCCUCCCACUCACUGACCUGACAGGAAAACAGCGCCGCUCGCCCCUCUCCGACUGUUGUGCCACCCGCUAGGGUGAGGCUGAUAGCAGCUGAGUCCAGCCUCAGGCGCAACAGGAAGCUCCGCCUUGCCCGACCCCAGGGCUCGGCCCCGCCUCGGCCUCGGAAGGUGGUCACCGCCUCGCCCGACCCUAGGGCUCGGCCUCAACCUCGACCCCGGAAGGUGGUCUCCGCCUUGCCCGACCCCAGGGCCCAGCCUCAACCUCGACCUCGGGAGGAAUCGCGUCCUCGCCCGACCCUGGCCUCGGCCUCAGGAGGAGUCAUCGCCUCGCUCGACCUUGGGCUCGGACCGACCACAUCGCAGGGGUACAUCAUUACCCUACCCCUAGCUAGCUCAGGCUACGAGGGAACAAGACCAGCGUCCCAUCCAGGCUCGCCCCGGUAACAAGUAAUGAUGGCUCCCCGCGUGCGUCCAUGAUGACGGUGGUUCUCAGCCCCCUACGGAAGUAAGGAGACGUCAACAAGGUCCCAGCAGCCCCGACAGCUGUGCUUCUACAGGGCUCAAACACUCCUCCGACGGCCACGACAUCGCGUACACAGGGCUAUAGCACCUCUCCGACAGCCACGUUGGCAUGUACAUAGGGCUCUGGCUCCUCUCUGCCGGACACGUUAGCAUAUUGCUACACCCCCAUUGUACACCUGGACCCACUCCUUGCAUCUAUAAAAGGAAGUGCCAGGGCCCUCAUACGGGUGGGUGGUCGCGCGGGACUCCCUCUCUCCCUCGCGAACGCUUGUAACCCCUACUGCAAGCGCACCCACUCUAGCGCAGGAUAACACGAGCCGCGGUUCCCCCCCUUUGUGUUCCGUCUCGCGCCAGCCCAUCUGGGCUGGGGCACGCAGCGAUAAUUUUACUCGUCGGUCCAGGGACCCCCCGGGGCCGAAACGCUGACAGGUUUGUUGCGAACCUCGCCGGUUGGUAGGAACAGCCGAGAUUUGUUGCUGCGUGGAGAGGAAGACUCUGGAAAGUGGGCCCCACCAGGCAGUCAAUGAGCUCGCGAGGCAGGGCGGCGUAGGGCUGACGCUCGGGCCCGGGUGGCAUAGACACAAAGGGACUCAAAGGAAGGAUGGACUGAGCAGGUGUGGGAGUGGCGAUGGGCCAAUCUGCAUUCGGUCUAGGCUGAGGUAAGUCUUCUUUUAUUUUUUUCUUUUUUAUUUGCUAUUUUCCUAUUUCUUCCUCAAAUUCAAAUUUGAGUUCAAGUUUUCCAUUCAAAAUAAUAUGCACAAUAUAAAACUCCAACAUGAAUGCAAAACUAUAUAUAUUUUUAUAUACAUAUUUAUUUAUUAUCCUAUUUUUGCAAAUGUUUCUAGCUAUGUAGCUCACACAUAAAUAGUUUAUUCUAGAGAAAUAAUUUUUUAUCAAGAUAUGAUUUCUUUAAAGAGUACCUUUCAAUGUAUAGGUCAAAAAGGGAUAACUUCAUUUUCCUAGUGAUCUUUUCAUUUGUUCUUUUACUGAAAACAUAUUUAUUAUAUAGUUACUGAGAGUAAUGCCCCAUUUUAACACCAUUUUAUUAUUCAUUUGUUCCCUAGUCUCAAGUUGAACCCUAGUUCCAAAUUUUAACUCAAAUAUUUUGGACAAACUUUUAUGAAUCCCAAAGAUAGGAUUUUGGGAUGUUACAAAUUCUACCCCUUAAAAAAUCUCGUCCUCGAGAUUAGUAGAAAAGGAAUGCAGAAGGUUUGGUUUGUGGUUGGCUUCUAGUUCUCCAAACGAGAUCAAAGUUAGAAAUUUUCUUUCUAAUUUAAUGGGUGGUUAUGAAGGUCAUGGGGAUCUUUUAUGUUUGGCUAUUUCGGGCAGAAGUAGAGAAGUUUGAAGUUAAGUAAGGUUAGGGCAAGAAAAAGAUUCCUUCUGAAGUAUUGAAAUCUUGGUUCAUCUUGAGGUCUGCUUUGACUUUUAUAUCCUUCCUUGACGAGGUUGAUCUUCUUCGAUCUUGGUGUCUCCACUAGUGUUGGGGACCAUAAUUAGGGGUACCCUCAAGGCUCUUAAUUCUCAGCUGGUAACCCCCAUCAGCAUAAAGCUGCAAAGGCCUGAUGGGUGCGAUUAAGUCAGGGAUCAGUCCAUUCGAGGGACUCGAUCACGCCUCGCCCAAGCCUAGCCUCGGACAAGGGCAGCCGACCCCGGAGGAUCUCCGCCUCGCCCGAGGCCCCCCUCCAGCGGCGAACAUAUUUCCGGCUCGCCCGAGGCCCUGUCUUCGCCAAGAAGCAACCCUGACCAAAUCGCCGCACUGAUCGACCAAAUCGCAGGACCAUUUAAUGCAAAGGUGGCUUGACACCUUUAUCCUGGCACGCGCCCCUCAGCCGACAGAGCCAAAGUGACCGCCGUCACUUUGCCGCUCCACUGACCGGUCUGACAGAAAGACAGCGCCGCCUGUGCCGCUCCGACUGCGGUGCCACUUGACAGAGUGAGGCUGACAGGCAGUCAGGUCCGGCCGCAGGCACCAUAGGAAGCUCUGCUUCGCCCGACCCAGGGCUCGGACUCGGGCUAAGCCCCGGAAGACGGCGAACUCUGCUCCGCCCGACCCAUGGCUCGGACUCGGGCUAAGCCCCGGAAGACGGCGAACUCCGCUCCGCCCGACCCAGGGCUCGAACUCGGGCUAAGCCCCGGAAGACGGCGAACUCCGUUCCGCCCGACCCAGGGCUCGGACUUGGGCUCAGCCCCAGAAGACGACGAAUUCCGCUCCGCCCGACCCAGGGCUCGGACUUGGGCUCAGCCCCAGAAGACGACGAACUCCGCUCCGCCCGACCUAGGGCUCGGCCUCGGGCUAAGCCCCGGAAGACGGCAAACUCCGCUCCGCCCGACUCAGGGCUCGGACUCGGGCUAAGCCUCAGAAGACGGCGAACUCCGUUCCGCCCGACCCAGGGCUCGGACAUGGGCUCAGCCCCAGAAGACGACGAAUUCCACUCCGCCCGACCCAGGGCUCGGACUUGGGCUCAGCCCCAGAAGACGACGAACUCCGCUUCGCCCGACCCUAGGACUCGAACUCCGCCCUGGCCUCAGCCAACGGCCUCUGCCUCGCCCGACCUAGGGGCUCGGACUCGACCUCGGCCACGGAAGACGGACUCGACCUCGACCUCGGAGGAGCCUCCACAUCGCCCAACCUAGGGCGCGUGCCAGCCACGUCAAUGGGAGGCGCCAUCAUUACCCUACUCCAAGCUGACUCAGGCUACGGGGAACAAGACCGGUGUCCCAUCUGGCUCGCUCCGCCAGAUAGGCAAUGAUGGCGCCCCGCACGCUCCCUGACGAUGGCGGCUCUCGGCCCCCUUACGGAAGCAAGAGGACGUCAGCAAGGACUCGACAGCCCCGACAGCUGUCCCUCCGCCAGGCUCCAGCGCUCCUCCGACGGCCACGACAUCACACAAACCGGGCGCCAAAAUCUCUCCGGCUGCCAUGAUGGCGUGUACUUAGGGCGCUAGCUCUCCUCCGCUAGACACAUAGCACUCUGCUACACCCCCCAUUGUACACCUGGAUCCUCUCCUUACGCCUAUAAAAGGAAGGACCAGGGCCCUCUUAGGGGGGGUUUGGCCGCGCGGGGACGAGGACGAGACAGGCGCUCGCUUGGAGCCGCUCGCUCCCUCUCCCGAGUGGACGCUUGUAAUCCCCUACUGCAAGCGCACCUGACCUGGGCGCGGG
rnacentral:lncRNA from 1 species